UACGUAGGGUGCAAGCGUUUGUCCGGAAUUAUUGGGCGUAAAGAGCUCGUAGGCGGUUUGUCGCGUCUGCUGUGAAAUCCCGCGGCUCAACUGCGGGUCUGCAGUCGAUACGGGCAGGCUAGAGUUCGGUAGGGGAGACUGGAAUUCCUGGUGUAGCGGUGGAAAUGACGCAGAUAUCAGGAGGAACACCGGUGGCGAAGGCGGGUCUCUGGGGCCGAUACUGACGCUGAGGAGCGAAAGCGUGGGGAGCGAACAGG
rnacentral:rRNA from 1 species